rnacentral:lncRNA from 1 species
AUAAUGAAUUCAUCAAAACUAUGAAAUAGGAAUAUUAAAUUAUGAUACUUUUGUUCACUAAAUGUGACAAUUAAAUAAAAAUAUCAUGUUAAAUUCACUCAAAAAGCUUUUUAACUGGUUUAUUAUCAAGAGUGGUUGAUACAACGACGGGAGGAUAGUUUUUUUUUUCCUAGUAGAAAAAACAGCAGCAGUCUGUCACCUUCAGUUGGCUCCUCCCCCUGACCCGCCUCUGUCUGCUGCUGAUGCAGUGGCUCACAAUCCAGGCAGCCGGUGUGCAUGUGUGCAUUCACACAGAUGGCGUAGAGGGCAUACUUCAUGGCACAGAAGCCUCGAAACAGAUUGAUGUUCCGCUGGACAGAGCUACUGGCAGUUCCAGAACUCUGUGCUCCUCGUAUUUAGCGAGGGGUGUCAGGGAGUGCAGCACAUACAGGGCAGAGUGAUGGUCCAGCAUGUGUAAGUGACUCAGCAAGGCAUCAUGGGAUAUCCCUCUGUACAAGUAUGCAUACCGGUAAAUAAAUAAAUAUAUGCACUACCGUUCAAAAGUUUGGGAAUAGUAAGUUUUUUUUUUAAAACACUUUUAUUAAGCAAGGAUGCAUUAAAUUGAUCAAAAUUGACAGUAGAGACAUUUAUAGUGAUACAAAAUUAAAAAUCAAAUAAUCCUGGAAAAAUUUCAUGUUGCCCUCAAAAAUUUGGUUAACUGCGUUAACUGUUCUGAGCAUGUGCAGCCCCAAUCAGACAACACAAAACUCUCUUGAAACAUGAGGUUUAUGAUAUAAAACAGGAAUUUAAUGUCUUUAAAGGCUAUUAUUUAAAAUCACAAAAAUGGCUAAAUCUACCUGAAAUUGCUAUUUACAGACUGUCUGUCCAUGGUGAUUUUUGGACAAUGUUAUCUUUACAAGGUACUGAGUUGCUGAGUGCUUUUUUGGUGUUUAUUGUAUCGCUGGUGACAGGCCAACAUUUCUGUGCAACUAUUUGAAAUGCCACACCAAUUACGUUGUUUGCCACACUGAUCUACUAUUGUUCUAUCAACUCCUAAGCACCUAAACUGCAAAAAAAAAAAAAAUAGUAAUCUGUUUUAGUGACCAGAUUAAGCUGCAAAGAUGAUGAGACUUUUUACUUGCCACAAAGAUGAUGAGACUUUUUACUGCCAGUCAAAUGUCUGACUACUGACCUGUUGGUGAUGUAGGACUCUAAGAAGGGUCUUGGCAGAAUCCAGGCUUUGACAAUGCAUCCAGCUCAACAACAACAAGAGGCGGGACAAAGGCUGAAAUUCAGCCUGCAAUAGUGUUUCUAGUUUGGCAAACUCCUCCCUCUUUAUGAGAUCUAAUCCAGUGAGCUGCAAACAACACAGAUGGAUCACUGCAAUUAUAAAACUAGAUGAAUCUUUGUGUUGCUUUCAUCUAUACACUUUCAUAAAUGUUGUUUUUAAAUGGAUGAAACUUGAUUAACUUAAAGUCUCAUUGACUAACUUCAGUGCUUAAGACUGAAACACAGACAAAUUGGACUUAACUUGUUCAUUUAUUUCUAGACCUCCGUUUGCCUGAUUGUGUACACCUACCAAGACCUGUUCCAGAAAGUGCUUUCCCGUGCUCAAACACUCAAAGUAGAUGGCUUUC